rnacentral:rRNA from 1 species
UGGUUCCGGUAGCGAUCGAGGGAAGUUAGUACCGAAGUCCGGGAUGGAAGAUGGCGAGAAAAGCUGUGUGUAUUUCUGCGGUGCCCGUACCGCAAACCGACACAGGUAGGUAGGAAGAAGAUUCUAAGGCCAACGGGAGAAGGGUUGUUAAGGAACUCGGCAAAUUGACCCCGUAACUUCGGGAGAAGGGGUGCUCCAGAGAUGGAGCCGCAGAGAAUCGGCCCAAGCAACUGUUUACCAAAACACAGGUUUGUGCUAAAUCGAAAGAUGACGUAUACGAGCUGACGCCUGCCCGGUGCUGGAAGGUUAAGAGGAGAUGUGCAAGCAUUGAAUCGAAGCCCCAGUGAACGGCGGCCGUAACUAUAACGGUCCUAAGGUAGCGAAAUUCCUUGUCAGGUAAGUUCUGACCCGCAUGAAAGGCGUAAUGAUUUGGGCACUGUCUCGACAGCCCGCCCGGCGAAAUUGUAGUACCGGUGAAGAUGCCGGUUACCCGCGACAAGACGGAAAGACCCCAUGGAGCUUUACUGUAGCCUAAUAUUGGGUUUCGAUGUUGCAUGCACAGGAUAGAUGGGACACAGGGAAACAAGUGCUUUGGCAUUUGUGGAGUGGCCGUUGGGAUACCAUCCUUGCGAUAUUGGAAUUCUAACCUGCGCCUUUGAAUCAAGGCGGGGGACAUUGUUAGGUGGGCAGUUUGACUGGGGCGGUCGCCUCCUAAAGAGUAACGGAGGCGUUCAAAGGUUCGCUCAGCUUGAACGGAAAUCAAGCAAAAGAGUGCAAACGCAGAAGCGAGCCUAACUGCGAGACUGACGGGUCGAGCAGUAACGAAAGUUGGAGUUAGUGAUCCGGUGGUAUGUGAGUGGAAAUGCCAUCGCUCAACGGAUAAAAGUUACCCUGGGGAUAACAGGCUGAUCUCCCCCAAGAGUCCACAUCGACGGGGAGGUUUGGCACCUCGAUGUCGGCUCAUCGCAUCCUGGGGCUGUAUUCGGUCCCAAGGGUUUGGCUGUUCGCCAAUUAAAGCGGUACGCGAGCUGGGUUCAGAACGUCGUGAGACAGUUCGGUCCCUAUCUGUCGUGGGCGCAGGAUAUUUGAUGGGAGCUGUUCCUAGUACGAGAGGACCGGAGCGGACGUACCUCUGGCGCACCAGUUGUUCUGCCAAGGGCAUAGCUGGGCAACUAUGUACGGAUCGGAUAAACGCUGAAAGCAUCUAAGCGUGAAGCCGACCCAAAGAUAAGAUAUCCCAUUGUUUCAAACAAGUAAGGCCCCUUGAAGACUACAAGGUUGAUAGGCAUGAUGUGUAAGUGGAGUGAUCCAUUCAGCAAGCAUGUACUAAUAGGUCGAGGGCUUGACC